GACGAACGCUGGCGGCGUGCUUAACACAUGCAAGUCGAGCGGUAAGGCCCUUUCGGGGGUACGACGAGCGGCGAACGGGUGAGUAACACGUGGGUGACCUGCCCUCAGCUCUGGGAUAAGCCUGGGAAACCGGGUCUAAUACCGGAUAUGACUCCAUGACGCAUGUUGUGGGGUGGAAAGCCUUGCGCGGCUGAGGAUGGGCCCGCGGCCUAUCAGCUUGUUGGUGGGGUGAUGGCCUACCAAGGCGACGACGGGUAGCCGGCCUGAGAGGGCGACCGGCCACACUGGGACUGAGACACGGCCCAGACUCCUACGGGAGGCAGCAGUGGGGAAUCUUGCGCAAUGGGCGAAAGCCUGACGCAGCGACGCCGCGUGAGGGAUGACGGCCUGG
rnacentral:rRNA from 1 species